AACGAACGCUGGCGGCAGGCCUAACACAUGCAAGUCGAGCGCUCACCUUCGGGGGGGAGCGGCGCACGGGUGAGUAACACGUGGGAACCUACCGUGAAGUACGGAAUAACUGAGGGAAACUUCAGCUAAUACCGUAUACGCCCUACGGGGGAAAGAUUUAUCGCUACAAGACGGGCCCGCGUUGGAUUAGCUAGUUGGUGAGGUAAUGGCUCACCAAGGCAACGAUCCAUAGCUGAUUUGAGAGAAUGAUCAGCCACACUGGGACUGAGACACGGCCCAGACUCCUACGGGAGGCAGCAGUGGGGAAUAUUGGACAAUGGGCGCAAGCCUGAUCCAGCCAUGCCGCGUGAGUGAUGAAGGCCUUCGGGUUGUAAAGCUCUUUCAGAUGGGACGAUGAUGACGGUACCAUCAGAAGAAGCCCCGGCUAACUUCGUGCCAGCCGCCGCCGUAAGAC
rnacentral:rRNA from 1 species